UACGAAGGUCCCAAGCGUUAUCCGGAUUUAUUGGGUUUAAAGGGUGCGUAGGCGGCUUAUUAAGUCAGUGGUGAAAGCCCCAAGCUUAACUUGGGAACUGCCAUUGAUACUGAUGAGCUUGAGUAGAUUUGAGGCGGGCGGAAUGCGUCGUGUAGCGGUGAAAUGCUUAGAUAUGACACAGAACACCAAUUGCGUAGGCAGCUCGCUAAACUCUUACUGACGCUGAGGCACGAAAGCAUGGGGAUCAAACAGG
rnacentral:rRNA from 1 species